AGCGAACGCUGGCGGUAGGCCUAACACAUGCAAGUCGAACGAACUCUUCGGAGUUAGUUGCGGUCGGGUGAGUAACACGUGGGAACGUGCCUUUUGGCUCGGAAUACCUCAGGGAAACUUGUGCUAACACCGAAUGUGCCCUUCUGGUGCAAGAUUUAUCGCCAUUAUAGCGGCCCGCGUCUGAUUAGCCGGUUGGUGUGGUAACGGCCCACCAAGGCUACGAUCAGUAGCUGGUCUGAGAGAAAGAGCAGCCACACUGGGACUGAGACACGGCCGAGAAUCCUAGGGGAGGCAGCAGAGGGGAAUCUUGCGCAAUGGGGGAAAGCCUGAAGCAGCCAUGCCGGGUGAAUGAUGAAGGUGUUAGGAUAGUAAAAUUCUUUAACCGGGGGCGAUAAUGACGGUACCCGGAGAAGAAGCCCCGGCUAACUUCGUG
rnacentral:rRNA from 1 species